UACGGGGGGAGCAAGCGUUGUUCGGAUUUACUGGGCGUAGAGGGCGCGUAGGCGGUCGUGACAAGUCACUUGUGAAAUCUCCGGGCUUAACUCGGAACGGUCAAGUGAUACUGUCGGACUAGAGUACAGAAGGGGCAACUGGAAUUCUCGGUGUAGCGGUGAAAUGCGUAGAUAUCGAGAGGAACACCUGCGGCGAAGGCGGGUUGCUGGGCUGAUACUGACGCUGAGGCGCGAAAGCCAGGGGAGCGAACGGG
rnacentral:rRNA from 1 species